rnacentral:lncRNA from 1 species
AUCGCGAGAUCAGGAAGGUGGCCGAGUGUGUCGCCGCGGCCAUCAGGCACUUCUCCUUCCUGCCCUUGUAUGAAGAAGGAUGUGUUUGCUUCCCCUUGUGCCAUGAUUGUAAAUUUCCUGAGGCCUCCUCAGCCCUGCAGAACUGGGGUUAUAGCCAUGUGACUGAUCUUCGUCCAAGAAUAUGUAAAGAAAAAGUGUUGAGUUGGCUUUUAGGGCUAGAGCAAUGUAUCUUAGGCUCACUUAAGGAAGCUGUAGAGAUGAGCCCAAGGAGGGAAACCAGAAGAGCCCCCCAGGCUCACCAGUUGUUUGUUGGCUCCCUACAAACAUGUCAUUCAAGUGGCUAAUCUUACAACAGCACAAAUUCAUCUAACCAGAAAGAGAAGAGGAGGCUCCAAAGGCACUUGACUACUGAGCAUCACCCUGGACGUGUACAAGUCUGCGUCCUUAUUGUUUUCUUCAUUGGGCCGAACUUUCUGGUCCUCAUCCAACAGCUCUUCUAUCACGUGUUCGAAAGUGUCAGCCAAUGAUGUCAAGCCUCUUGAACCUGCCUUGGGCCCAUUCACGCUCUCCAGAGUCCCAUGGGUCCGCACACCUGGAGAUACUCUAUUAUAGCAAAGAAGAAAGAUAAUUUCAUUGAGCCAUCCUGUUUUACAGUAUUGAAUUAUUACCACAAGGUACCAACCAUAUAUGCAUACUUAAUAGGGUAUUUUGUCAAAACUAUGCAUGAAGGUCAUUUGUUUGAGAUGUCAGAACAUUUUCCCGUGAGAAGAUCUCAUUGGGCAUUGAAACAGAACCACAUGCUCUUCAGACCAGCAACCGCGACUACCAAAUACUCCUCUGUCAACUCUACUUGAGUAAGAACGCUUUCAAUUAAGGCCUAAGUGUCAACAUGCCUUUAAAAAAAAUCGUGGUGACACAAAAUCUUUCUUUUUAGCACCCAACAGAAUCCCUUCAAAGCCUCGUGGUCUGACACCCUAUGCUACGUGACUUGUGACCCAUCCAUUUGUCAUGUUCUUCGGGAAUGUGGCUAAGGGGCUAAGAUGUGACUUGAAAAGAAAGGUAGAACAAGAUCAUCUCAAAUUUAUUAUCAAGGAAUAGUUCAGAAAACGACUUCAGACCACAGAGACAGCAGAACAGAUGGUCCGGCAUGGAUAGAGCAUCAGACACUCACAGACUGUGCCAACAAGAGCCAUCGAGUCAAAACAGCCAAAGGAAGGAGGGUCAUGGAAUGGGUUCUCUCACACCAAACUGAUGCCCAGAGGCCCUCAGCAUGAAUAACAAAGGCAACCAGACCCACAAGCCAUACUGAGUGGAUACAAAACCUAUACCUAGGCUGACAUCCCAAAUGUGUGUGGCAAGUUAGAUGAUGAUGGCACAAAAGACAGAACACCUUGCUUCUGGCCAUUGUCAGCUCUUGGAAGAGAGCACACUUUUAGAGGAGCAGCUGCAAGGAGCCUGAGAACAAAACUGGAAAUGUCUGUUAUGAAAGCCUUCACAGGAAAUUCUGCAAGUGGCAACGUGGGUCCAUUCCGUGUGUGUCACUAGAGCUGGCGCAAGCCCAUGGCCAUGGUGAGGCAGCGUUUCCACUGGAACUAAUCUGAUACCUGCACCAGCUCUUGCAACUGUGCAGUGUUCCCACUGCAAACUACGGAUGGGGUAAAAGACUGCUCACCUCCUAUUUCUCAUCUAAUCUCACACACUCUGUUUGAUGAGGCUAUGGAGAAACAGGUCUUCUCAUACACUAAAGGUGGGAGUACAAACAAUUCAAGCCCUGUGCAGGACAAUUAGGCAAUACCUAUCAAAAUUAUACAUGAUUUUUCCUGCUGACCCAGCAAUUCCACUUCUGGGAAUAAUUGACAGAUAUAGGUGCAUAUGUACAAAAUGAUGGAAAGCUCUCUGGUAUAUAUUAGUAAGUGAUAAAACAAGGUGUAAAAUAGUGUAUAUAUGGCUACUACCUUUUGUUUUAAAAAUGGGGGAAAAUGGUGGAGCUUGCGGUGAGCCGAGAUCGUGCCACUGCACUCCAGCCUGGGCGACAGAGCGAGACUCCGUCUCAAAAAAAAAACAGGGUGGGGUGGGGGGGAAAUAAUAGUACAUACUCAUAUUUACCUGUAUCUAUAUAAAACACACUAUCAAGGAUUCACAAGAAACUAAUACAAAUGAUCACCUUAUAGAUGGUAUGUAUUGGGGGAUACUGAGGUGAGCAGGGUAUAAGUGGGGCAAGACUUUUCAGUGUAAACUUCUUUUAAAUUUUAUUUUGAUUUUUGAAUAAUGUAAAUUAACUGUCAAAUAAUUAAAUUAAAAAUAACCAAUUUAUUAACAAAACA